AGUAUGAUAAAGGGGUGUCCUGCAUUCCAAUGGUACCUCCAUCACCGUUGAAACUGAAUUGGAAAUCAGUACAAUUAUGACGAAGAGUGUCUUGCAUUGUGGCACUAAAAUAGUAGUGCUUCGUGUCACUUUUGAACUGGCAAUUUGUAUAACUAUGAUAAAGGAUGUCUUGCAUUGUAGUGGUAGCCUCUGUAUUACUCUUGAAAUUGAAUAAGAAAAAUUAACGGUGAAUGCAGAUAGUAAGGAAGGCUUCCUUGCAAGUAAGAAAUAAUACCAAGCUUCCCCAAUGAAGAUUAUAUGGAAAAGGGAUUCUAAUCGGUUCGUUCUUGUGGCUGGAAUUAUUUGGGAAUGGGAAUCUGCAUUUAUCUUCCGUUCUUAACAUGGAGCCCUUUGUGACAAAAGCAGUAAAAUAUAUGAAGCAAUACAGAGAAUAGGACUUGUAACACCUCCAAAUUGUUGUCCUAUUCUUGUAGCAGAUGAUCCAAAAAAGAUUGAUAUAUCGAAAAGGAGAUCUCCAUAAAAGGGUGUCCAAUCUCUUUCUUACUUUAUGGAGGAUGUUACAGCAACUAAUGGAUCUCAGUCACCACUUCCAUUUAGAGGACAUACGGCAACCGGAAGAUGAGAACUUUAUAGCAAAACCAAAAAUGAAGGUGAA